GGGUGGUAAUGCCGGAUGCUCCAUCACACCGCAUGGUGUGUUGGGAAAGCCUUUGCGGCAUGGGAUGGGGUCGCGUCCUAUCAGCUUGAUGGCGGGGUAACGGCCCACCAUGGCUUCGACGGGUAGCCGGCCUGAGAGGGCGACCGGCCACAUUGGGACUGAGAUACGGCCCAGACUCCUACGGGAGGCAGCAGUGGGGAAUAUUGCACAAUGGGCGCAAGCCUGAUGCAGCGACGCCGCGUGAGGGAUGGAGGCCUUCGGGUUGUAAACCUCUUUUGUUAGGGAGCAAGGCACUUUGUGUUGAGUGUACCUUUCGAAUAAGCACCGGCUAACUACGUGCCAGCAGCCGCGGUAAUACGUAGGGUGCAAGCGUUAUCCGGAAUUAUUGGGCGUAAAGGGCUCGUAGGCGGUUCGUCGCGUCCGGUGUGAAAGUCCAUCGCUUAACGGUGGAUCCGCGCCGGGUACGGGCGGGCUUGAGUGCGGUAGGGGAGACUGGAAUUCCCGGUGUAACGGUGGAAUGUGUAGAUAUCGG
rnacentral:rRNA from 1 species